GCGCUCAUAGCUCAAUUGGAUAGAGCGUUUGACUACGGAUCAAAAGGCUUCGGGUUCGACUCCUGAUGGGCGCGCCA
rnacentral:tRNA from 2 species